rnacentral:rRNA from 1 species
UACGUAGGGGGCAAGCGUUGUCCGGAAUUAUUGGGCCUAAAGCAUCCGUAGCCGGUUCUACAAGUCUUCCGUUAAAUCCACCUGCUUAACAGAUGGGCUGCGGAGGAUACUAUAGAGCUAGGAGGCGGGAGAGGCAAGCGGUACUUAGUGGGUAGGGGUAAAAUCCGUUGAUCCAUUGAAGACCACCAGUGGCGAAGGCGGCUUGCCAGAACGCACUCGACGGUGAGGGAUGAAAGCUGGGGGAGCAAACCGG